AUUGAACGCUGGCGGCAUGCUUUACACAUGCAAGUCGAACGGUAACAGGUUAAGCUGACGAGUGGCGAACGGGUGAGUAAUGCAUCGGAACGUGUCCGAUCGUGGGGGAUAACGCAGCGAAAGCUGCGCUAAUACCGCAUACGAUCUGAGGAUGAAAGCGGGGGACCGUAAGGCCUCGCGCGAUCGGAGCGGCCGAUGUCAGAUUAGGUAGUUGGUGGGGUAAAGGCCCACCAAGCCGACGAUCUGUAGCUGGUCUGAGAGGACGACCAGCCACACUGGGACUGAGACACGGCCCAGACUCCUACGGGAGGCAGCAGUGGGGAAUUUUGGACAAUGGGCGAAAGCCUGAUCCAGCAAUGCCGCGUGCAGGAAGAAGGCCUUCGGGUUGUAAACUGCUUUUGUACGGAGCGAAAAGGUCCUUUCUAAUACAAGGGGCUCAUGACGGUACCGUAAGAAUAAGCACCGGCUAACUACGUGCCAGCCGCCGCAGUAA
rnacentral:rRNA from 1 species